GCCUCCAUAGCUCAGUGGUUAGAGCACCAGUCUAGUAAACUGGGGGUCGAGAGUUCGAUUCUCUCUGGAGGCA
rfam:Hordeum vulgare subsp. vulgare, WGS project CAJW01000000 data, contig: morex_contig_345359